rnacentral:rRNA from 1 species
UUUAAAGUCUAACCUGCCCAAUGAUUAAUUAAAUGGCCGCAGUAAUUUGACUGUGCAAAGGUAGCAUAAUCAUUAGUUUUUUAAUUGAAAGCUGGAAUGAAUGGUUGGACGAGAAAAUAGCUGUCUCAAUUUAAAUGUAUUAGAAUUUUAUUUUUAAGUUAAAAAGCUUAAAUAAUUUUGGAAGACGAGAAGACCCUAUAGAGUUUAAUAAUUUUGGAAAUAUAAAUUAUUAAGAAAGUUUUAUUUAGUAUUUCAAGGGUUAUUUUGUUGGGGUGAUGGGAAAAUUCAAUUAACUUUUCUUUAUUAUUUACAUUAAUUUAUGUUUGAUUGAUCCAUUAUUAAUGAUUAUAAGAUUAAAUUACCUUAGGGAUAACAGCGUAAUUUUUUUUGAGAGUUCUUAUCGAAGGAAAAGUUUGCGACCUCGAUGUUGGAUUAAAAUAAACUUUUGGUGCAGAAGUUAAAAAGUUAGGUCUGUUCGACCUUUAAAAUUUUACAUGAUCUGAGUUCAAACCGGAG